GCUGCGCCUAGGGUAGCUCCCGAAAAUCUGUAACCCUGACAGGCUGGCGCGGCUUCUAUUCAGGG
rnacentral:sRNA from 1 species